GUGAGGAAUAUUGGUCAAUGGGCGCAAGCCUGAACCAGCCAUGCCGCGUGCAGGAAGACGGUCCUAUGGAUUGUAAACUGCUUUUAUUUGGGAAUAAACUCCGGUACGUGUACCGGCCUGAAGGUACCAAAUGAAUAAGCACCGGCUAACUCCGUGCCAGCAGCCGCGGUAAUACGGAGGGUGCAAGCGUUAUCCGGAAUCAUUGGGUUUAAAGGGUCCGCAGGCGGUCUUAUAAGUCAGUGGUGAAAGCCUACAGCUCAACUGUAGAACUGCCAUUGAUACUGUAGGACUUGAAUUCGAUCGAAGUGGGCGGAAUGUGACAUGUAGCGGUGAAAUGCUUAGAUAUGUCACAGAACACCGAUAGCGAAGGCAGCUCACUAGGUCUGGAUUGACGCUCAGGGACGAAAGCGUGGGGAGCAAACAGGAUUAGAUACCCGUGUAGUCC
rnacentral:rRNA from 1 species